rnacentral:misc_RNA from 1 species
GCAUAAAGCUUAGUGGUGCCAAUAUAAUAUAAAAAUAAACUAAAUAAUUAAAUACAAAGAAAUUAUGCUAAUAAUUCACAUAGACUAAAUUUUUAGUAAUUGUUUGUAAUGUCCUUAAUUUAGUGGUUUUUAUGUCCAUUAUUUAGUUAUAAAUUUUUAAGACUUAUUUUAAUUGCCCAAGCAACCUAUAUAAAUUGACUGGACUUGAUAAAUGAAUAAAUUAGCACUAGGUACUAAGUGCCCAGGGCAGUCACACCAUCGGUCAUAUAGUGUCUGUCAGGUGUACAACAGAAUGACUAAUAAGCCAUAAGAUCAGUUGAGCACAAAGCCAUGUAUGUCAAGAAUAACAAAAUGAUCGAAGGUCAUAAAUCACGAAAUAGUACAGAGCCAUAAGUAGUACUGGAAUCAGAAUCCUAUUGGCAUGUCAACCUAUCCAAACCAAUCAUAACUAGGCAUACAUGGGCAUAUUAGCAACUUAGGUUUUGGUCCUUUGCAUUUGAUGUUAUUGUGUUUACUAUUCACAUUACUAUUCAUACAAAUUUUGACUAUUUCAUAAAUAAUAUGUAUACAAGUUCUAAAUUCAUGAUAAUACCACAUUUUGGAUUAAAAUGUUGUUGGCAUUAAUUGCCAAUUACAAUUCAAGUCUUCUUAGAAGUAUUUUCAAAAUUUCAGUUUUUAUCUCCUAAGUUUAUUGUUCCAUUGGAGCAAUCUACAGUGGGAUUUUGGCUAAACUUUCUUCAUCAAAAUUGUUCCUUAAUGUCUCUAAUUUAAUUCUCUUCUUGAAUCACUCCAUUUGGAGUUAUAUAACUCAAGUUAUGGUCAAUUAAUCAUAACUAGGUCAAAUAUGAAUUUUGGUUCCCUUAGUAGUCAUUUUGAUUCUGGACUUUACUAAUUUAUUUGGACAGGUUAUAGCA